rnacentral:rRNA from 1 species
UAAAAUAUUAUAAAUUAGGUAGUAAAGAAAAUUCUGAAACCUAAAGAAUUUGGCGGUAUUUUAAAUAAUUGGAGGAAUCUGUCGAUUAAGUGAUAUUCCACAACAAAUCUUUCCUAGUUUUUGUUUGUAUAUCGUCAUUUUUGGACAAUGUUAAAAAACAAUAGUCAUGAUCAAUUUAAGAUUUUAUAAAUUAGAUCAAGGUGCAGCAUAACAAGGUUUUGAUGGAUUACAAUAUUUAUAAAAUAUUUACGAAUAAUAAGAUGAAAAUCUUAUUUGAAGGUGGAUUCAAAAGUAAGGAGAAAAGUAAAGUGUUUUCUUGAAUAAUAAUUUAAAAUAUGC